rnacentral:rRNA from 1 species
AGUGAACGCUGGCGGUAGGCCUAACACAUGCAAGUCGAACGGCAGCACAGUAAGAGCUUGCUCUUACGGGUGGCGAGUGGCGGACGGGUGAGGAAUACAUCGGAAUCUACUUUUUCGUGGGGGAUAACGUAGGGAAACUUACGCUAAUACCGCAUACGACCUACGGGUGAAAGCAGGGGAUCUUCGGACCUUGCGCCUCAAUGUGCCGAUGUCGGAUUAGCUAGUUGGCGGGGUAAAGGCCCACCAAGGCGACGAUCCGUAGCUGGUCUGAGAGGAUGAUCAGCCACACUGGAACUGAGACACGGUCCAGACUCCUACGGGAGGCAGCAGUGGGGAAUAUUGGACAAUGGGCGCAAGCCUGAUCCAGCCAUACCGCGUGGGUGAAGAAGGCCUUCGGGUUGUAAAGCCCUUUUGUUGGGAAAGAAAAGCAGCAGGUUAAUACCCCGCUGUUCUGACGGUACCCAAAGAAUAAGCACCGGCUAACUUCGUG